rnacentral:rRNA from 1 species
CAACCGGGAUUGCCUUAGUAACGGCGAGUGAAGCGGCAAAAGCUCAAAUUUGAAAUCUGGUACCUUCGGUGCCCGAGUUGUAAUUUGGAGAGGGCAACUUUGGGGCCGUUCCUUGUCUAUGUUCCUUGGAACAGGACGUCAUAGAGGGUGAGAAUCCCGUGUGGCGAGGAGUGCGGUUCUUUGUAAAGUGCCUUCGAAGAGUCGAGUUGUUUGGGAAUGCAGCUCUAAGUGGGUGGUAAAUUCCAUCUAAAGCUAAAUAUUGGCGAGAGACCGAUAGCGAACAAGUACAGUGAUGGAAAGAUGAAAAGAACUUUGAAAAGAGAGUGAAAAAGUACGUGAAAUUGUUGAAAGGGAAGGGCAUUUGAUCAGACAUGGUGUUUUGUGCCCUCUGCUCCUUGUGGGUAGGGGAAUCUCGCAUUUCACUGGGCCAGCAUCAGUUUUGGUGGCAGGAUAAAUCCAUAGGAAUGUAGCUUGCCUCGGUAAGUAUUAUAGCCUGUGGGAAUACUGCCAGCUGGGACUGAGGACUGCGACGUAAGUCAAGGAUGCUGGCAUAAUGGUUAUAUGCCGCCCGUCUUGAAACACGGACCUCCUGUGUGAAGU